AUGAGGUCAGAGCCUCUAGAACAGCAGGCCAGACUACUGACCGCCAGAGCCUUGGAUGGAUCCCCAGGGGCUGGGGAUCUGGCUGGCAAGAGGAAGGGGGAGGCCGGGAGCGAUUGCUGGGGAGAAGGAUUCCUGAACACUGGGGUUCCUGAAUCUUACCCCUGGUCGAGUGGUGGAGAAGGGGAGAGGGAGAGUGAGGGGUUGCUGGGGAAGAGACUCAGGAGGGAGGAGCGAAGCCAUCUUGUGAUUCUGGGCCUGGAAGCUGGCGGAGCCCUGACUGGAGAGAAUGAGCAGUACUGGGGAGAGGGAGAUACAAGAGAGACAGGGAACACAAGCAGGGGGAGUGGGAGAGGGAGAAGAAGCCUUCCCGCUGAGCAAGAGCUGGAUGCAAGCUUCUACCCAGGACCCUGGGAUCAUGACCUGAGCAUGAGACUUAAUGACUGAGCCCCCAGGCAACCCAGCGGUGUGUUUAAAACAACUC
rnacentral:lncRNA from 1 species